AGGUAGGUACCUCUUAGGUUCGAAGUUUGUUCCAACAUUUGCCAUACGUGAGAUCCUGUUCAUCUUUCUCCUAGUGUUGUUGCUUGUAGGGGGAAGGAAAGUGGGGUUUCCAAUCAGGGUCGAAGAAGGUCAAACUUUGGGUCUGGGUGGGCGGCCAGGUUUUGCCUACGUUUUCAAAAGAUUGAAUUUUGUUCAACCAAAGUUAAGGAGUUCUAGAGCAUGAGGGAAUGGGCUCUCAAUCCCGGGAUCGCCUCAUCUAUGUACUCGCCCCCUUGAUUGCUUGAAGAUGCACGUGUGAUAUGAUAAAAGGCCCUAAGGUUGGAACUAAUGAAAAGCCAAGGUAGAGCCUCAGAGUCAGCCCAAGCGGAGAUCGACACUUGAAGGCUUAAGGAGUAGCCCGCCAAAAGGAAAGUCAUGGAGACAGUAGAUCGGGAGGUUAUGAUUUUAGUUUUCCUAUUUAAAUUUUCGAUAGUGUAUUUAGGAAAUGCAGAUGGUGGAUUAGGUGAGAACAUUCAACCGAAGGCGUAUUGGAGAUCAACAAUAGCUAAGCAUUGCGACCAUCAUAGUUCAAGCUACGUAUGGCUGGUGUACAACAAAAAAAAAAACAAAAAAAAAGAUGUUUGGUUUGGUACCUUUAGUCCAAUCUUAGACAAAGAGAAAAGAGGAUAUGAAGCACCGCUAGGUAGACCAUGGUCUAAACCAGGGUGGUUCAUGACAAGGCUAAAAAAAUAGUCUAAAGCAGGGAAAUGUGGGAUGGAAGGCGGAAAAGGCUUGGCUUUGUUUCAUAGAACUAAGGGAAUUUCAUUUCCGUAAUGGUGAUGCUGAUAUAUAUAUAUGCAAGAUCGAAGACACGAUUUGCGCAGGUCCAUUUUUUUUUAAGAUAAUAAGGAUGUGAUUUGUUCGCUAGGUGAUUCUGCUAGCCAAAUCGCACUAAUGCAAUUCAUUCACCCUACUAUCUUACAGAGCAAUUCAAAUAUUUAGUAAGAGCUAGGGCGACUGAUUCUAUUCUCUUUGAGGUUAGGUAAGUAAAGUAUUUAGCUUAGGGGGCAUGUCAAAUCGCUGAAAGGCCUUGGUGAUUCUCCAAUUUGUAAUUUGAAAAUAGAAAACCAAAAUGAUUCCAAACUUCACUUCAAUCAAUAGUCUCAUAUCCAUGCUGCUCCGACACCAAACUCGAUGUAAGCGAGACAUUCCUAAACUCCUUAUCAAACCCCUUUCUCGUUCCCUUGUACAAACUUGACCAGGCAGUUUUCAUUAUGUGCUAUUUGCAGUGUCUAGGAAGGUUAGGAGUGAAUUAAGCCAAUGCGUACAAAUAGACAGACCAGGUUCAUCCUUUUUUUUAUGUUAAGGUCAAUGCAAGUCUGUCUAUGAUUAAGAGUCUAGGUGUUGUUGAAGCUGUCUUAUUUAUGCUAGUAAUCUUAGAGCUAUAAGUCAAAACAAUGUUCACCAACUCUUCCAUAAUAAUCUUGUUCAUAUUCAUAUACGAAAAAGCUUUUAAAAUAUGAGUUAAAAUUGUUAUAUUAAAGUGUUUUGUCUCUUCCCAAGGUAGCAUUACCGAGUGAGCGAUCCCUAUCUUGUUUAUUCAAUUAGCUUUUCUCCAUGGUACUCAAAUUCUAUUUAUGAGAGCUCCUUUGGCUCAACUACUUUUUUGUAUGCCCUACUCUCCUUGUUCUUACCAUCGUUGCUACUUCCUUUCUCCAAAAAUAAAAUAAGUCUUGUGUCCAAAGCCUUGUAACUUUGAGAGGAGCGGUGCCUCCUCACAAAGAGAGUCAUAGUGACCAUGCCCGAUAACUGUUUACAAAAAACACAGGUCUUCGUAAAGUUGUAAGACCAUGUAUAGGGGCUGAUGCCUACCCAGUGCUAGAAGGUCAAGGAAGUUGGUGACCUGAUGACAGUAGAGUUGAUGAUCGAAGCCUGACAAACAACGAUCGUAACUAUAACGGUCCUAAGGUAGCAAAAUUCCUUGUCGAGUAAGUUUCGACCCGUACGAAAGGUGUAAUGAUCUGGGAACUGUCACAAAGAGAGGCUGGUGCAAUAGACAUGUCUACGAAGAUGCAAACUACCCAUACUUGGACAUAAAGGCCCUACGAGGCUUCACUGUUCCCUGGGAUUGGCUUUGGGCUUUUCUUGUGCAGCUUAGGUGGAAGACGAAGAAGGCCUCCUUCUAAGGGGCUUGAGCCAUCAAUGAGAUACCACUUUGGAAGAGCUAGAAUUCUAACCUUGUGUCAGGACAUACAAGCUAAGGGAUAGUCUCAGGUAGACAGUUUCUAUGGGGCGUAGGCCUCCCAAAAGAUAACGGAGGUGUGCAGAGGUUUCCUUAGUCCGGAUGAAGAUUUCCCCUCGAAUGUAAAGGCAGAAGGGAGCUUGACUACUAGACCUACCCGUUGAGCAGGGACAAAUGUCAGCCUUAGUGAUCCGACGGUGCCAAGUGGAAGGGCCGAUGCUCAAUGGAUAAUAGUUACUCUAGGGAUAACAAGCUGAUCUUACCCAAGAGCUCACAUCGACAAGAAGGUUUAGCACCUCGAUGUUGGCUCUUCACCCCUAGGGCUAUAGUAUGUUCCAAGGGUUGGACUGUUCUCCCAUUAAAGUGGUACGUGAGCUGGGUUUAGAACGUCAUAAGAUAGUUCAAUCCAUAUCCAGUGUGGGCGUUAGAGCAUGGAGAGGACCUUUCCCUAGUAUGAAAGGAUCGAGAAGGACGCACAUCUAGUGUACUAGUUAUCGUGCCCACGAUAAACAUUGGGUAGCCAAGUGCGAGCGAAUAAUUGCUGAAAGCAUCUAAGUAGUAAGCUCACCCCAAGAUGAGUGCUCUCCUAUUCAAUUCCCUAAAGCCUCCGGUAGCACAACCGAGAUGGUAAGGGGUUCUCUAUACAAUGCGUAGGUGUUCUUGUCGGGGGGUAUCCCCAUUUGAGACAAACUAGGCCUAGAACUGAUUUAU
rnacentral:rRNA from 1 species